ACUACGGAGAGUUUGAUCCUGGCUCAGGAUGAACGCUGGCGGCGUGCUUAACACAUGCAAGUCGAACGAACCUUCGGGUUAGUGGCGGACGGGUGAGUAACGCGUGGGAAUCUGCCCUCAGGAGGGGGAUAACGGUUGGAAACGGCCGCUAAUACCCCAUAUGCCGAGAGGUGAAAUGAAUUUCGCCUGAGGAUGAGCCCGCGUCUGAUUAGCUAGUUGGUGAGGUAAUGGCUCACCAAGGCAUCGAUCAGUAGCUGGUCUGAGAGGAUGAUCAGCCACACUGGGACUGAGACACGGCCCAGACUCCUACGGGAGGCAGCAGUGGGGAAUUUUCCGCAAUGGGCGCAAGCCUGACGGAGCAACGCCGCGUGAGGGAUGAAGGCCUCUGGGCUGUAAACCUCUUUUCUCAAGGAAGAAGAUCUGACGGUACUUGAGGAAUAAGCCACGGCUAAUUCCGUGCCAGCAGCCGCGGUAAUACGGGAGUGGCAAGCGUUAUCCGGAAUUAUUGGGCGUAAAGCGUCCGCAGGCGGCUUUUCAAGUCUGCUGUUAAAACGUGGAGCUUAACUCCAUCAAGGCAGUGGAAACUGAUUGGCUUGAGUGUGGUAGGGGCAGAGGGAAUUCCCGGUGUAGCGGUGAAAUGCGUAGAUAUCGGGAAGAACACCAGUGGCGAAGGCGCUCUGCUGGGCCAUAACUGACGCUCAUGGACGAAAGCCAGGGGAGCGAAAGGGAUUAGAUACCCCUGUAGUCCUGGCCGUAAACGAUGAACACUAGGUGUCGGGGGAAUCGACCCCCUCGGUGUCGUAGCCAACGCGUUAAGUGUUCCGCCUGGGGAGUACGCACGCAAGUGUGAAACUCAAAGGAAUUGACGGGGGCCCGCACAAGCGGUGGAGUAUGUGGUUUAAUUCGAUGCAACGCGAAGAACCUUACCAGGGUUUGACAUCCUGCGAAUCUCUUGGAAACGAGAGAGUGCCUUUGGGAACGCAGUGACAGGUGGUGCAUGGCUGUCGUCAGCUCGUGUCGUGAGAUGUUGGGUUAAGUCCCGCAACGAGCGCAACCCACGUUUUUAGUUGCCAGCAUUCAGUUGGGCACUCUAGAGAGACCGCCGGUGAUAAACCGGAGGAAGGUGUGGAUGACGUCAAGUCAUCAUGCCCCUUACAUCCUGGGCUACACACGUACUACAAUGCUACGGACAAAGGGCAGCAAGUUCGCGAGGACAAGCAAAUCCCAUAAACCGUGGCUCAGUUCAGAUCGUAGGCUGCAACUCGCCUACGUGAAGAAGGAAUCGCUAGUAAUCGCAGGUCAGCAUACUGCGGUGAAUACGUUCCCGGGCCUUGUACACACCGCCCGUCACACCAUGGAAGUUGGCCACGCCCGAAGUCGUUACUCCAACCCUUGUGGAGGAGGACGCCGAAGGUGGGGCUGAUGACUGGGGUGAAGUCGUAACAAGGUAUCCGUACCGGAAGGUGCGGAUGGAUCACCUCCUAA
rnacentral:rRNA from 1 species